UACGAAGGGGGCUAGCGUUGCUCGGAAUCACUGGGCGUAAAGCGCACGUAGGCGGCUUUCUAAGUCAGGGGUGAAAUCCUGGAGCUCAACUCCAGAACUGCCUUUGAUACUGAAGAUCUUGAGUUCGGGAGAGGUGAGUGGAACUGCGAGUGUAGAGGUGAAAUUCGUAGAUAUUCGCAAGAACACCAGUGGCGAAGGCGGCUCACUGGCCCGAGUACUGACGCUGAGGCACGAAAGCGUGGGGAGCAAACAGGGGUUAGAAUACCCU
rnacentral:rRNA from 1 species